CAAACCCCAAUCAAACACACCCUUAGCCUUUACUGUGACUGUCGACCGCGUCGCAUCGCGUGCUCGAAAAAAUUCGUCCCCAACGGCUGUAAUUUCUACGGAAAAAUCUCGAUUCUCAGUCGCUUGUGCUCGGCGAAGCCACUUCGACGGGUUGUUCUCUCAAUUUCUUCUCUCUCUUCCCCUCUUCUCCAUUUUCUUAUUCCUCUUCACUUCAUCAUCCGAGACAGAAAACUCCGACGCCGAGGUUGUCCACGGAUAGUUUCCCCAGUGUCGAGGAAGGUAUUUCAUCGAAGGGUCUCAACAAAGGUAUGGAUUUGAAGACAAAUUGCAAAAGGUCUGUCGUCAUCGAGUCUCGCCAAUUGGAGGGAGUGCGGAUGUGGAGAUUGACGAGAUUUUGGGGGAAUCAAAGCACACGAAUCGGACACACUGCAGCUGUAGCCACCGACGGCUAGCUCUUCACAUGGGGUACGAUUGCGUUGUUCUUCCAAUUUUUUGCAAUUUAUUUCUCCAAUUAUUACCCAGAUUUUUGGCGGAUUGAAUAAUUAGGGUUAAGGUGACCUGAUUUUUAGUAUUAAUUGAAUGGUUUGGGGGUAAUUAAGUACUUGAAUUUGAGAUAGAUUAAUGUAUGGAUUUUACUGUUGGAAGUAUUUGUUAAUUGGUUAAAGUGAUUAAUUUCAUGCAUGAGAGAAAGCUAACGUGAUGGAGGUUGAAGAGAGGGCCUAUAUAAAGGAUCAUCAUCUUAGAUUCUCCCCUGGCUUUGAAAUGGAACGAGAGCUUUAGAAUGCACGGGUUUGGAUAUGAUAGUUGUAGUGAUGAUUAUAAGAUGGUUUACUACAACACGGACAAUGAAUAUGAGCCUGAUUGUGCCGAUACAUGUGUAUUCUGUUAAAAGAAAUCUUUGGAAAAGGGUUGAUGUUUGCCGUUCCGGAGCUUUUGUUAAUGGCGCCAUCCAUUGGUUAGCCAGCAGUAGGGAAGCAGGUUAUCGCUCUGUUAUUGCUGCUUUUGAUUUGGCUGGACGAAAUUCCUCCUCCAAAUGGUAUGGAUGUGGACAAGUUUGUGUUUUCUAUGGGUAUGGUCGAUAUUCACAGCUGUAAUCCAGCGGAUAUUUGGAUUAUGAAGGUGUAUGGCUCGGCUGAUUCUGGAUGAAAAUUAACAUUGCUGCUGAUUA